rnacentral:ncRNA from 1 species
GGCUGGCCGCCGUCUCGUGGCGUCAGGAACCCGGUGGAAAUCCGGGGCGGUUCCGCCACUGUGAGGGCCUUGCCGGCCUGUUAGCCAGAUACGGCCACGAGACGUCCGACGAC